rnacentral:RNase_P_RNA from 1 species
UGAGAGAGUCGGGUGAUCGCUGCAAGAAAUUCUUGGAGAGGAAAGUCCGAGCUCCUUUGGGCAUAGAGCUGGGUAACACCCAGGGCAAGUGAUUGUCGGAAAGUGCAACAGAAAGCAAACCGCCGAUGGCCUUUGGGCACAGGUAAGGGUGAAACAGGGAGGUAAGAGCUCCCUCAUGAGAGUCAUGUGAGUGACCAUGCGGUAAACCCCUCUCGGAGCAAGGCCAAAUAGGGAAACCUUAUACGACGCCCAAUCGUGAGUUUCCGGGUAGGCUGCUUGAGCUUGUCGGUAACGGCCGGCCUAGAUAAAUGAUGACCACAGAGAAAUCUGAACAGAACUCGGCUUAUAGACUCUCUCAAUCA